AUCUCUCAACAUAAGAGACUUUGUUUCUUGUGCUUGGAUAUUGAAGGUCUUGCUGGCGCAACAACUGUCAGCUCCUUUUAAAUGUAUUAGCAGAGCAGUGUUAGGACUGGCCUCGGUUUGAUAAGAAGCUUUAUCUAUGCUGUCGCUAGUUUCCUCUUUAUGCUUGGCUUCAAAUUGUCUUUGGACUGCCUCUUGAGGCAAAAAUAUUAUU
rnacentral:misc_RNA from 1 species